AAGUCCAACAUACGAAGACCUUUAUUAUAUGAGCCCAGAUUAGAUUAAUAAUUUUUUCUGCUUAUGAGAGUGAGAUGAAACAUCUAUUCUUUUCUCAAGAAUCCUCCAACAUCAAAUCUUUUAUUUUAUCUUCAAAUCUUGGCAAGUGAUCCUGCAAGAAUUCUUUUCUUUUCCAAGAUUCUUGUGCAGCCAUGACAUUUGGCCUACAUGCAGCCAAGUUUUACCCACAUUAACCCAUUCACCUCUUUAAAUUACCCCAACCUAUGCAGCCCCACCACUAAAUCAAUUUCUUCAUUUUCUCCUCCUCCUUUUGUCUUCCCCAAAGGCAGAAGCUAACAACAUUCACUCACUCACUCAAUAGGAAGCAACCAACGCAGUAAACAAAAAAGGGAGAAGAAGGAGAACCAAGGUUCUAAAUUCGUGUAAAGAGAAAAACCCAACUAAAGACAAUAUCAUGUGCAAGGAGAGCUCCUGUACAAGGAUUUGAGGACCAAGAGGAUUAGCACUGCUUUUCCGUGACAGUUUUACGAUUAAACUACAGGCUUUGCCUAUUCAGGUUGAUCAGUUGGUGCAGACGAGGCUGAGUUGAGGCUAAGUACCAUGAUGUCUUUUGCUUCCGCUAAUGACUAACUUAUCAUCUCGUCUUUUAAAUUCUCUAAAUUGAGAAUUUCUAUUGUGGGGUACAAUAUUAUUUCGUUGUGUUUAAACUCUUAUCCUAUAUAUACUUUAAUGAAGCUAUCAUUGAUUAAGAUCAGAGACACGGAACUAAACUUAUGUGAUCCUGAGUUUGAAU